rnacentral:rRNA from 1 species
UACAGAGGGUGCGAACGUUGUCCGGAAUCACUGGGCGUAAAGGGCGCGUAGGCGGCUUGAUAAGCGUGCGGUGAAAGCCCGGGGCUCAACCCCGGGUCGGCCGUGCGAACUGUCGAGCUGGAGCACUGUAGAGGCAGGUGGAAUUCCGGGUGUAGCGGUGGAAUGCGUAGAGAUCCGGAAGAACACCGGUGGCGAAGGCGGCCUGCUGGGCAGUGGCUGACGCUGAGGCGCGACAGCGUGGGGGAGCAAACAGG